GAAUGCUCAUGAAAAUUGGAGCUUGCUCCGUCUCUUGCCCUUUUUGGUUGGGUCACGUGUACCGGAACACGAACCUGCAUGGGUUGUACUUAUGGAUCUCAAAGACAUCACAGAGCUUGUUGUUGCCCCUGUUCACAGUGAUGACUCGCUAGCAUUUUUGGAAAGUAAAAUAAUUGAGCACAGGCAGAGAUUUAAAUAACUUUUCCCUGAUUUGAAGUUGUUACUGUAGCAGGAUGGAUUGUUGCAGGUGUGGCUGUGAGGGUAAUUACAGGCAGUGGCCCCUAGAGGCAAUAUAUAAAGACCAAGGUGCUCGCUGGCCAGGAUGGGCAUCUUCUGGUCCUUGGAACCGCCCACUUCCGGUUGUGGACUUCCAGGUUGCCUUACAGCUCUGGAUAACCAAACAAAUUGCAAUCACGUCCGAGCUUGAAUGAAGCCCCUGCAUUUCGCGUGCCGCUAUUCUGUUCCUCUCAAGUGACAAACAGUCGGCCAGGGACUUUCUGGUGCUCCCGCUAAUAUUGGAGCAGCUGCUCUUUUUUUAAUCUGAAUUUCUGGACGACUUCACGUUCGCUUGCUCUUCACUACGCCGUGUACGUCGAGGAUUCUGCUGGGGUGGCUUUCCGCCGUAACGUCCGUCGGAGGUGCAUGAGGAAGAAACACCAGGGCACUCCCGGACUCUGCCCCCCCCACUGGAGAUCACGAGCGGUUCUCAUCUCCAGACUUUUUACCCUUUUAGCCUUGUGCUUUUAAGGUUGUGAUUUUAACUAUUGAAUGAGCACAGUGUUUUGUUUUUUUUAUUUGGUGAAGUGGAGCUGCACGAGCCGAUCAGCUCAGCUCACACUUCUUCCUAAAGUGUUCUGUUUUUUAUUUAUAUUUCUUGUUGUGUGUGGAUUUUAAUUAUUUGUUUUCCCCCUCCCCUCAGUGCUGAGGACCCAGUCUCGUGCCCAGGUGGAGGUUUCCCUCGUUUGGAGUGUCGUGUCCUGGUGAAGGGAUUCACGUGUGAGUGUGUCAUAUCACGAGCUUGGGGUGAAUUACAGUUUAGUUGUUUUGUUUUGGGGGCCUCCACCUUGCGUAGCUAACGGGCCUCAGCCAAACGGAUCUUUCCCCUUUUUAGUUUGUGUGAAUGUUUUAUUGAAAUUUCUUGUUUUUAAUUGAUUUUUAGAACUUUUGUAAUAAAAAUUUUAUUUUUAACUCUGAACCACGCCUCCUGCCUUUGUGUGCAAUCGAUCUACUCAUCCUUUAUUCCACU